CUACUGGGGUUUCUAAUCCUGUUCGAUCCCCACACUUUCGCAUCUCAGCGUCAAUUAUCGGCCAGAAACCCGCCUUCGCCACCGGUGUUCUUCCAAAUAUCUACAGAUUCCACCCCUACACUUGGAAUUCCAGUUUCCCUUCCGUAAUUCAAGUUAUACAGUACCCAAUGCUAUUCUAGAGUUAAGCUCUAGGAUUUCACAUCAGGCUUACAUAACCGCCUACAUGCCCUUUACGCCCAAUAAUUCCGAACAACGCUCGCCCCUUACGUGUUACCGCGGCUGCUGGCAC
rnacentral:rRNA from 1 species